rnacentral:lncRNA from 1 species
CCUGUGUAUAUUUUUUGACUUUUUUUAUUUCCGUGUGUUCUUUUAGCAGAUGCUUUUCUCCAAUUCUUACAAUGAGUGCAUUACACCAACAGCAAGAGAGACUUGGAUGCAGAUUUAAUUUUAUUUUAGAUUUAUUUAAUUGCUAAAGUUCCCUUUUGUUUUUUUUGUGAUAUCUGAACUUGCUUAAGUAUACCCGAUCAGAAUGUAAAUAGCUCUUUUCUGCAGAUGCCAAGGCACUGAAGCAAACAUCCCAGAAUAAACAAGUUGUGUAUUAGUUCAGCGUCUGUCCCCAAUACUGAGAACAACUUGCCUGAUCCUCUGAAUCCAGACAAACGACCCCGCACUUGGGUCCUUUCGUCCCGUUUCAUCGUGACAACCAGAGCAGCACAGAGCAGACCUGUAGAAGAAUAAAACUUGAAUCACAGCAAACAUCAGCGUCGAAAAUGUUUCUUUAAACUGAAAUACUCACCUUGACUCGUCCGCAUGCAGACUGGGACACCGAGAACCUAUACAGUGCUGCUUGAAAGUAUGUGAACCCUAUAGAGAUGGGCACUGUCAUUGUAAAAAAAUAUUAUAAUAAGGU